UACGUAGGAGACGAGCGUUGUCCGGAGUUACUGGGCGUAAAGCGUGCGCAGGCGGUUCGUUGUGUCGGCGGUGAAAGCCCCGGGCUUAACCUGGGAAUGGCCGUUGAAACUGGCGGACUGGAGUGUGGCAGAGGGGGGUGGAAUUCCGCGUGUAGCAGUGAAAUGCGUAGAGAUGCGGAGGAACACCGAUGGCGAAGGCAGCCCCCUGGGCUAACACUGACGCUCAGGCACGAAAGCGUGGGGAGCAAACAGG
rnacentral:rRNA from 1 species